rnacentral:rRNA from 1 species
AAUGAACGCUGGCGGUAUGCCUAACACAUGCAAGUCGAACGGCACCACAGUAAGAGCUUGCUCUUACGUGUGUCGCGCGUCGGACGGGUGAGGAAUACACCGGAAUCUACUUUUUCGUGGGUGAUAACGUAGGGAAACUUCCUCUAAUACCACAUACGACCUACUGGUAUAAGCACGCGUUCUUCGAACCUUUCGCGAUUGUAUGAGCCUAGGUCGGAUUAGCUAGUUAGCUGGGCAAAGGCCCACCAAGGCCACGAUGCGUAGAUGGUCUGAGAGGAUGAUCAGACACACUGGAACUGAGACACGGUCCAGACUCCUACGGUAGGCAGCAGUGGGGAAUAUUGGGCAAUGGGCGCAAGCCUGAUCCAGCCAUACCGCGUGAGUGAAGAAGGCCUUCGGGUUGGAAAGCGAUGAUGUUGGGAGAGAAAAACAGCAGGUUAAUACGCGGCUGUACUGACGGUACCCAAAGAAUAAGCACCGGCUAACUUCGUG